rnacentral:rRNA from 1 species
AUUGAACGCUGGCGGCAGGCCUAACACAUGCAAGUCGAACGAGUGGCGGACGGGUGAGUAAUGUCUGGGAAACUGCCCGAUGGAGGGGGAUAACUACUGGAAACGGUGGCUAAUACCGCAUACUAUCGGAUGAACCCAUAUGGGAUUAGCUAGUAGGUGGGGUAAAGGCUCACCUAGGCGACGAUCUCUAGCUGGUCUGAGAGGAUGAUCAGCCACACUGGGACUGAGACACGGCCCAGACUCCUACGGGAGGCAGCAGUGGGGAAUAUUGCACAAUGGGCGCAAGCCUGAUGCAGCCAUGCCGCGUGUAUGAAGAAGGCCUUAGGGUUGUAAAGUACUUUCAGCGGGGAGGCGUUACCCGCAGAAGAAGCACCGGCUAACUCCGUGCCAGCAGCCGCGGUAAUAC